UGUGCAAGGUCAUCAUUCUCCUGCUCCAGCCUCAUGCUAGCUUCUUGGAGCCUGCGGUUCUCCCUCUGUAGGAAGAAAGGAACAACCAGAAAAAGAAGUUAAUUCUUGUCAAUAUUUUAGAAAAGUGAGUGAGUAUAUUGUGUGUAUAGAACACUGAGAAGGCAAGAGUGCACAUUAAGACAGGACUGCUGCUCUGGGAAACAACAGUGAAUUAAGCCAGCAGUGCAAAUGCAGCAAUUUCCUUUACAUCCCAGUGGCUAUGUUUGAGAAACGUAAGUGCCGCACUGAUUGUAGGGCUUCUCUGUCAAAAGUAAAUGCAGUCCUCUCCUCAAAAGCAUUUCAUUUCUGCUUGGUCAUCAUGGAAAGAAAUUAGGCAGAUAAAAUACUACACAGCAUAAGUGAAGAGGGACCUUUUAAAGAGAUACUAGUGUUUCUGAUCAGAAGUAGAAAUCUGUCCUGCUCCAUUUUGCAAAAUUUUGACUGCAGGUAACCAUAAAAGAGUCCAUUUUGUAAAUGCUGUAGUGACAACCACCCGUCUUCCGCUGGACUAGUAAAGAACAGCAGUUAGCUGGGAACUUCUCUGCAGCUCAUAUAUGUUUGUGCAUUUUCUCUGCAAUUUGCACAAGCAACAACAGUGUCACUUAAAAGGACCCAGGCUGAGCACCAGCAUCAGAUGGAGAGCGGCUCUUGCUUUCUGAGUGGCAGGCGGCCUUCCAGGACUGUGCUUGCAGGCAAAGCCCGACACCACAAAAAGCAAAACGUCGAGACGGUGAGCUCCAGUUCUUCCCUGCACUGCCCUCACUACCACUUUGCUGUAGCAUAAGUGACUAAAUAAAGCACUAGCUAGUGAAGAUAAUCUGAGAAACAGUGGUUUUACAGACGCAGCUCUGCCAGUGAGCAGUUAUCAGAAAGUAACUUAAAUUCAUGAGGAAAUGCAGACUGGUUUGGAGACUGAGAUGAUAAUAAACAGGUAAUACUGACAGCUGCUGCAGCACCAAUACCUCUUUAUAGGAAUGUUGUUUAGAGGAAAAAAUCAGCAAAGUUUUAGACACCCACAAAAUAACACCAAAAGACAUUUGCUGUAACAUUUUUUGCUAUGCUUUUGCCAAAAGCUUCAGUGUCUGCAAAGCGAGCUGCACAAUGUGAAGUUUGAAGUUCCUGCUUUACAUUCACAGACAAGUGGAUAAGCAAGCUUUGUGGUUGGAAAUGCGCUAUCCUCCUCUUAAAUGGAAACUCACACAGCACAGCUUCUGUAAGUUAAAUUAAGUUAAAUCUCUCUUACCUCAGGCAUCCAGUCAGUAGCUAUCAGCAAUUUUAAUCUUGUUCUCCAUGUUUUUAAUUUCUAGCUGAAAAUCUCUUACUGGGCCACCUUUACUCUUCCUCCAAACAAGGCAGUCUGUGUGAUUAGACAUGGCCUGUCUUUUCCAGCUCCUCCCCCUAGAUCGAGCAGUGAAAAACUGCCUCCUUGCUUGGGAGGAAAUUCUUAAUCUGCUUAAAUCCAAAUAAAACCUAGCAUUACACAAGACAAAGACAAAAAUACCAAGCAAUGCUACUUGUAUAGAGCAAAUUAUUUCUGAGGCUCCGAAAUAUUUACAGGCCUUUAAAAAAUAUCAUUUGCAAUGGGAAAAAAUUAAGUUCAGUAGAUGGAGGUUAUUAGUUACAGGCAGACUCACAUCAGAGACAGUAUUCGGUAACCUGGUGUGAGCCAACUAGUCAGACCUGCUGGUCGUCCUUGGUGUAAACAAACAGCUUCCGCCCUUUCCCUACGUAACACAAACAAUUCACUGACUACAACAUUUCCUUCUCUUUGGUAUUGUUCGGUUUCUACAAUCAAUAAAACAGGAGAGUCCUCCUUCCCAGUGAGUCUCCUCCCUAUUGCUGCAAAGGGCAGCUGGUGAAUUCUGGCUAGCUUUUAAAAGGAGGAUACUGCAUUUCCAAAAGGGACAAACACUGCUGUCACGUACAAACACAAACAAACUUACCUCCUGUAAAGUCACAGACCAAAUACUGCUUUCAACCAUUGAUGUAAAGACAGUGAAAACAGGAUAUAAAAUAAAAUUUUAAUACCAACAAAAAUAGCCAAAAAACUAAGAAAAUGUCGCUGAUUCUUCAGUGGGGUUUUAGUUCUGAUUUCUAAAGAGGAUACGCUCCAGCUUCCAUCACACAGUUGACUGAAAGAAGGCAAAUUUGAAACCAGUAGGCAAGCGUCAACUCAGGAAGACUGAAAAGGCUCAACUCCACCCUCUGCUAUCUCCCAGCUCGCGGGAAGGCGGAAUACAGGCCGGGAUUAGCCGUGACGAUGCAUCCUCAGUCUGUGGUGCCUCUGAGCUGGGCGUAACAAUGUCACCAACCCUGUUAAGCAAUCCAGUUGUCACAUUUCCUGAGGACCAAAACCCCACUCCCCUGUCAGAUCUCUGAGGGGGAACAGUUCGCCAGUGGUAAAACAAAAAGAUUGAUUAAAAUUCAUAUUUCUGGAUGUGAGCAACCUGAAGUCUUCCUAAGCUAACUGGAAAGCGCUCUUAAUUGCAAAGGCAAUUCUGAAGGUAAAAAAACAGAGAAACGAGACAUCUGAAAAGCAAACUGUCCAGGAAGAGCCUCAAGGGAAGCAACACGGAGGCUUCUGGAGAAGGGUUGGUGUUUUGUUUGUUGUCUCUACCUCAAAAGAAACUUUCCUAAAAUCGUCCUAGCAUAUUUUUUUAAACAACAAACAAAGAAAAGAUCUACACUGAGUUACCUAUGUUUUUCCUUGUUACGUUAAUUCAGUUAUGAUGACUCAAAAAUUACUGGUGUAUUAAUUUUUGCUUGUACUUCAAACACACAAAGAAUAUUAUGUCCAAAUUACGCAUUUAUUCAGAUUGACAACUUCUCCUUUGCACAACAAGGUCCAUAGAGGUAAAGGUGCUUCUACAGUCAGAACAGAACUCAGUGCACAAACGAGCUGUCUGCAGGUCUCUAGCCUGUCUUUAUAUUGUUAUAACCUUUUAAUUUUAAAUAAGAAACUCAAACUCCAACAAUUUUUCAUCAAGUCAAUCCCAGCCUUUCAAAUACAAGGUUUUUCCAGACACAGAAAAAAAACCAUCCACAGUUUGUAGAAAAAUAUCCAUCUGAACUAUUUUGCUAUUUUUGCUGCACAUACAAAUCUUUUUCUUGAUUCACUUUCAGAGGCAAUCUAAUUUAUUUUAACCAAAAGUCAUGAAAUGUGGUGCCAAACAGUAAUUUAAAACCUGUUUACUUUUGUAUAUUUUAAAAAGCUGACAAAAAUGUUGGAUAUUUUGUUAUAAAAAACAGAUAAUAAAAUCACUCCACUGUAGAGACAUCCAUAAACAA